GUGCAGGAUGGCGACGGCGGCCUACGAGCAGCUGAAGCUGCAUAUCACACCUGAAAAAUUUUAUGUGGAAGCUUGUGAUGAUGGAGCAGAUGAUGUACUUACCAUUGACCGUGUGUCCACAGAGGUUACCCUUGCAGUCAAGAAAGAUGUUCCUCCUUCAGCUGUCACAAGACCAAUAUUUGGUAUACUGGGCACAAUCCAUCUGGUGGCAGGUAAUUAUCUUAUAGUCAUUACCAAAAAGAUAAAAGUAGGUGAAUUUUUCAGUCAUGUAAUCUGGAAAGCAACAGAUUUUGAUGUCCUUUCUUAUAAGAAGACAAUGUUGCACUUAACUGAUAUUCAGUUACAAGAUAAUAAAACCUUCCUAGCGAUGCUAAACCAUGUCUUGAAUGUGGAUGGAUUUUACUUUUCAACAACAUAUGAUUUGACCCAUACUUUGCAGCGGCUAUCCAACACUAGUCCAGAAUUCCAAGAAAUGAGUCUCUUGGAAAGGAUCAGCGGUUUGUAUGGAAUGGUCAUCUUCUAAGAGAACUUUCUGCACAGCCAGAGGUUCAUCGAUUUGCCCUUCCAGUGUUACAUGGCUGUA
rnacentral:sRNA from 1 species